GACGAACGCUGGCGGCGUGCCUAAUACAUGCAAGUAGAACGCUGAAGGAGGAGCUUGCUUCUCCGGAUGAGUUGCGAACGGGUGAGUAACGCGUAGGUAACCUGCCUGGUAGCGGGGGAUAACUAUUGGAAACGAUAGCUAAUACCGCAUAACAGUAGAUGUUGCAUGACAUUUGCUUAAAAGGUGCAAUUGCAUCACUACCAGAUGGACCUGCGUUGUAUUAGCUAGUUGGUGAGGUAACGGCUCACCAAGGCGACGAUACAUAGCCGACCUGAGAGGGUGAUCGGCCAAACUGGGACUGAGACACGGCCCAGACUCCUACGGGAGGCAGCAGUAGGGAAUCUUCGGCAAUGGACGGAAGUCUGACCGAGCAACGCCACGUGAGUGAAGAAGGGUUUCGGAUCGUAAAGCUCUGUUGUAAGAGAAGAACGAGUGUGAGAGUGGAAAGUUCACACUGUGACGGUAUCUUACCAGAAAGGGACGGCUAACUACGUG
rnacentral:rRNA from 1 species